CAAGUUUCUUCCGUAUCUGCAACUAAGGAAGUUUCAAGCAGUAAUCAUGGUUCACUUGUCCAAGCUACUUUAUCCACAUUAUUCAAAAAGGUGGAAGAAAAGAAGGCUCCAAGAACCCCAAAGAAACUUUCAUCAUCAAAAGAUUCCACUAAAAAGUUGCAGGAUGCUGGUUCAAAAAGGAUCAUAGAUCUGGAUGAAGGGUCCAAGAAGAGAGUGAAAAAGACCAAGGACAAGGAUACCGGUUACCAUUCUCUCCCUCUCUUCCCUCUAAAUGUUUACA